UUUCCUUUAUUCCUUUAGAGAGAGGGAAUCACUCACUUCUGAUACCAUGUGAUGUGAGGAUAAAAACACAAAGAGACAUGCUUUAAACAGCAACUAGAUAACUCCCUCACCAGGAAGGUCCUAUAUUUAUUAAACUUCCUGCUGCAACACAUCCUGGUCCUCUUUGGUAACAGUGGAGGACCAAAGACCCUAACUCCUCCACCGACUCCAUAUGCCAGCUAUCCAAAGAAUUUGUUAACCUGCUGCUGGAGUCAGAAAUAACCCAUUUAUACAUGGAACAAUUUUUCCUCCAUGGUCAUGACACUAUCCAUCUCUCCACAGGGGUUUUGUAUCCUUGGUAAUGGAGUAGUUCCUGUUUCUAAUCUCCAUAAUGAAGAACUGACUCCAGGCCUGACUCCAAGUUUCUGAUUUGCUACAGGAGGCACCAUCCUUCUGCUGUCCUUGAACUGCAGCUGGGGAGGGCAGUCUCCCACAUGAACCCCUCCCACCCACAAACCUGAUUUUUGUGGAGAGUAAAGGUUGAUCCUAGAGUCACAAGGAGCUUUUCUUCUCUACCUGAUGGACAGGAGCUUUAAUCCAAAAGGCCUGGAAUCUGCUUUGAAACUCUUCCAUGACUUUUCAUCAAACAAAGAAAUUGCAAACAUGCUAAUCCUGAUAUGGAUGCAAGACUCCAGAUGUCAUUGCCAUUAGCUUGAUUCCCAUAUAAGACUGGCAUUUAUUUAUUUAUGCAUGCAUGCAUGUUGCUAUAGUGCCUACUGGAUCAGGGCCCCAUGGCACUAGGCACUGUAUAAACACAUAACAAAGAGUUUACAGUGUAAAUAAAUAUUCUAGGCUCUGACAAGCUUGUAGAAUGACACCCUGAGGUAGAGGAUGGCCAUGGAAUGUUGUGUCUAGAAAAGUACAAUUCUCCUUUAAAAUAGGGAAUAUCCUUUGUGAGUACAAGGUUCAGGAGCCCGGGGAGCUUUCUUGGACGAGCAGCAACAGAUCAUUUUUUUGUUGUCAUCAGCCUUUUAUAAGAAGUGAUAGGGUGGUUCUGUUGUCUUUUUUAAAAGAAAACAACAUUGAGAAUUUAUGCUUAGAUUUUCCUUUCUGUUUAAGGCCAGGUUGGGCUGCAAUGCUACACAGCACAAAGUAGCCUUAAACCAUCCAGAGCGGUGUUUCUCAACCAGGGUUACAUGUACCGCUGGGGUGCACGGAUGUCUUCUGAGGGGUACAUCAACUCAUCUAGAUAUUUGCCUACUUUUACAAUAGGCUACAUAAAAAGCACUGGCGAAGUCAGUACAGUCUAUGACUUUAUACUGCUCUAUAUACUAUACACUGAAAUGUAAGUACAAUAGUUAUUUUCCAAUUGAUUUAUUUUAUAAUUAUAUGGUAAAAAUUAGAAAGUCAGCAUUUUUUCAGUAGUAGGGUGGCUGUGACACUUUUGUAUUUUUAUGUCUGAUUUUGUAAGCAAGUAGUUUUCAAGUGAGGUGAAACUUGGGGUAUGUAGGACAAAUCAGACUCCUGAAAGGGAUAGAGUAGUCUGGAAAGGUUGAGAGCCCCUGAUCUAGAGGUUCCCAGUGAAGAAUUCCCCUGAAUUUCUCCUGGCCAGGGAUUUUAUUUUAUUUUAUUUUUUUGCUGGCACAGUGCUUUCUCUUCCAAUGUAAAGGGAGGAGGAGGUAGAGGUAGAGGAGGUAUACUGAGGGUGGACUAAAGCCAUAUUGGGGCUGGACGAGUGAAGCUGGUGGGCAGAGAAAAGCAUAUUGAGGAGUUUACAGCCUCAGUGCAGUCUCUUUUGGUUGAACACACACACACACACUCACUCUCUCUCUCCUUUAAGACUCCUGGAUUCCUGUUGAUGCUAGGCUCUCAUGGCAACGUGUGUGAGUAACACUUUCUACCAUCUCUAGUUGGCUAGGAGGCUCUGUCCCAUCCUGGAGGAUGAUGACCUGGCCUCAGUUAUACACACCUUUGUCACCUCUUGGCAGGACUGCAACUAUGCAAUACACCUGGGCAUAAAGGCUUCAGCGUUUAGGAAACUCCAGCUAGUACAGAAUAUUACAGAGCAGGGGGUGGCCAAACUGUGGCUUGCGAGCUGCAUGCUACUCUUUUACAGGUAAAGUGUGGCUCUCGGAGAGGGGAGAGCUAGGGGCUUCUGCCCAGCAUGGAGGGGGCGCCUGCUGGAGCUUGAGCCCCGCCACUCCCAUCCCCGCAGGACUGAAGCCCUGAACCCUGGCAGGCACCUCCCACAGGGCUGAAGCCCCAAGACCCCCCUCCCGACAAGGCUGGACCCUGAGCCCUAGCAGGUGCCUCCAACAGGGCAGAAGCCCCUAGCCCCCACCACACUGCCACAAGGUUAAAGCCCUGAGCUCCGUGCGGCACAGCUCUCAAACUUCUGAAGAUUGUCAUAUGCAGCUCAGAAGGUCAGUAAGUUUGAUCACCCAUGCUACAGAGCAUCUCCUCAGCAACACAGGUUAUUGUGAGCAUAUCUAACUUGCCCUCUGCUCUCUACAGUGGCUUCCCAUGGACUGUCGAAUCAAAGUCUAGGUCUGUAUCUUCAAGGGACUGCAUGGUCUGGACCCAGCUAAUAGAACACCUAAAGCUCCAGGAUGAAGAUUAUGGCUAACAGUUUUGCUCCUCUGGCAUAAUGGAAUCUGCCAAAGCUCAUCUUUGCAUGAGAGAGAACUUUUUCAUGGGCGGUUCAAGACUGUGGAAUGAACUCCCACAGGAACUAAGGACCAUCACAAACCUCACUAUCUUCUGCUCCAAGUGCAAGGCACAUUGCUCUGUCCUUGCCUUCUGUAACAAAAAUACUUAGCUCAGAACAGUUUUUUGAAACCAAAAACCUACCAAAACAAGACAUGCCACUUCACACUCCUCUCCCCUGGGGAUAGAGCGAGAGAACAAACAGCAUAUGACAAAUGUUGGUCACAUUGACUAAGGCACUCAGAUGCUAUGGUGAUCAUAGUAUUAGAUCCUGUAUAGAAUAGAAGAAUGUGUGGUAGAGCUUAUAUCUGCUACACCUAGUCUUCUGUUGGGGCACGUGGCAUUGUAAGGAGUUUAAGUUAGAGCAGUCAGUAUACUGCUCUAAUUUGUGCAGAAGCUGGGCUCUGGAUCUCUGCAGCCACCCUUCUCCAUUAUAUCUGAGCUGUGGGUGGAUGUAGCUGAAAAUCAGAGACUUCAAAUGCAAAACUAAAAACAAAAAUAGAACCCUAAAAAAAAAUCAAAGUUUUUAUUCAUUUUGAGGGGAAAACAGGACAAUUUCACUCUAGCCAUUAAUUCCUGUUGACACUAAACUCUCACUUAGCAGCUUCUGUGAGUAAUGUUUCCAAGGACAAGGCCCUUAAGCAAACAAAUACUUGUGUAUACAUGCCACUUUAUCACAAUUUUGCAAGCAAAUAGGUUUACUCGUCCACCCGUUUUUGCAUGCAGUUGUGGUAAAUGUAGAUAAUUGCAGGCACAGUUAUGGUAAAUGCAUGUAUAGAAGUAACCAUGCAACUAUACAUGCAUUUUUCAGUGAACAAGUGGACCUCAACUCACUGAAAAUGUCUCUUGUUAAUUUGUUCUGGAUUUCUUCUAGGCAGUCUGUUUAUACGCUGUGCUACUGGUUCCACUCCUCCCAGAAGAAAAGAAACCUUUGCACAUAAACUUGUGAAUUGACACGUAGAUAUUAUGGUGAUGGGCAGAUUACAAAUGCCUAGAUGGAGUUCUGGAUAGUUCCCUUCUAGCUGAAAUUCAUAUUGUAGGAAAAUACUCUUUUCAUUAAAUAAGGAGCAUUGUGAAUACAGUUGCUACAUAAUGCAGCUAUGAAUUCCAGUCUGUGCCCCAUCAGCUUCCAGUUUUCAAAAAUAAAUAGGUGCACUCCUCCAACAAAUACAACUGGCAUAGAUGGCAAGCCUGGAUCAGAGCUGGCAUAUUUCUUAACACAUCUGAUGCUUUCAUUCAUUAAUGCAUGUUUCCAAUAAAUAAAAUAUCACAAUUUCAGAUAUCCAUAUUUUAUCAAGAUGGAAUGAAAGUGGAAACAAGGCAGUAAAGAAUGUUGAUGUGUGCUAACAUGGGCCCAAAUAAUGUAUGCGUUUAACCAUACUCUUUAGGAGGAUGUGGUAAAGAUCUAAUAAGGUCACAAUUAGUGCAUAUUAGUGGUAAGCUGCAUUGCUGUAUUUACUGUGUUGCUUUCUUUUCAGUUUGAAUGUAAGAGACCAUUACUUUAUAAGUUCCACUUAUUGCAGAACUGAAAAGGCAUAUCCUUCAUCAUGAUCUUAAAGCUGAUCUAAAAGGCUUUUUACCUUCCAAGACCUUAGUGGUGGGCUUUGAUUCUUCUAUUUAGAGGUAUUGACUUUGAUGACGCUUCAAGCAAGGAAUUACAUUCCUUUAACUCCUUGACUAGUUAGUGUUGCUGCCAACUGGCAGAAAACCAGAGUCCUGAAUCCUGGAACUGAUGGGUAAAUAGAAGUUAUGAUUUUGUUUGGAACUGUAAAAUGUUGGUUGAUAAUGCACAUUUUAUUGAGGUAGGAUCUCAAACUUUUAAACAUUUUAAAAGUAUUACGGUUUACUUUUCAGUAUUUCAAUCUGAAUAAGUGCAAUAGCAGCCCAGAUGUCAUGGUUUCUGCAGUGGUUUCCUUCCAGGGGGGAAAGAGUAGCCUGGGAAACUACACAAAGAUCCAAGCGGAUCUCAAGAAAUCCACUGUUUAGAGGGCGGAGUCCUCUGCUUUUUCUGGAGAGUGGCAGAAUCAUGGAACAAUUAGGAGGAAACUACUUGAGCUGAAACUAGUGAAUUUUCUUACCUCUUACAGAGAUUUUCCCUUUCUCCCUGAGGAGAAUUUAGCCCCAAGUUAUUUUAUGAUAGUUCAGCAGAAUGUACAUUAAAGUAAAGAGGAAAGAAUUGAGGUGCAGCAUCUGAAGUGUCUUUCAUUUCUGUUGCAGGUGGGGUUCAUAAAGUGAAGAAGUGAAUUGUUCCUGUAGUGUAUUAUGUGUUCCUUUUUUUCCUGCUUGCUAGUGAACUGCUGCAGAAAGGACCUGGACCACUUGGCACAGCAAAUGAGCUUCUUAAAAAUAUAUUUUAAUGAAUAACAGAUACUCAGCAUGAGCCAUUGUUGUUUGGGCUAACAGAUAGCUAGGAUUGUAAAUGUCUAUAUGGUCUAGUCACUAGAGAGAACAGAGAACCACACUGAGUAAGCAUGGGUUACACCUAUGUUUCAAUUUUGAUAAAGAGGAGGAAAGAAUGUUUUGAGCAACCAUCAACUAUAUGACAGAAGAGGUCACUUUCAAGGAAAGAGAUGUAAUCAAACAUAUAGCAACUAAGAGUUUCAUUAUUUGAAGCAGGGGGAGAAAUUACUGAAACCUUUUUGCCAACGUUUAUCCGUUUCAGUUAUUUUUGAUGGUAUGUAUUCCUUGUGUGCUUUAGCUACAGUACCUUUAUAUCGACAGUUGGUAGCACAAGUCUUUUAAAGCACAAAGAGUAGCAGCUCCUCAGCCAAUCUGUGAUAAAAGAGAAAAAAAUGAAAUCACUAUGGAAACUGCAGGAAGAAUCUAAAAGCUUUCUUUAUAAAGUAAAUGUCUGAUGUUUGUGACUGCGGGGGUACAAAAUUCAUAAAUCUGUAUGAUGCUAUCAUUUCUGAUUUGUUAUCUCAGCAAAUGCCAGGUCUAAGCAGUCUGACCUUAGCUUUAUUAAGAGCUUCCUUUUUAGAAACAGUUACUAUUCAACAAUGGAAAGACUGCAGUGCUGCAAGUGGGGGAAACUAAUUUGUUUAAAAUGUGGCUUUAAAAAAAAAAAUCACAGAGACCUCAAGGCUUAGAGAGUCAGGAACACUGUGAGGUUUUUAGUAAUGCAGCAACUAAGGGAGCUGAAUGCAAUUCAGAAAACUUAUGUUUCAUUUCCAUUACAUGCCUGUCUUUGAUCUCAAAUUGAAAAUCUCUGACCUUCCUCCUCCAAUCCAGAAGCAAAUAAAUACUAAAGAAAAGGAAACCCCCUCUUCUUUCAGCACACAGAGCCUCUAAGACUGAAAAAUGAAGGUGACUGCUACUAUGAACCUGUUUGGACACCAGACAGCAACAAAUACCUGUCUCAGUGGAGGAGUUUAAGAGCACUGCAGAGAUCUUCAGGCAGUGCAGAGUAUCUUGGCUUACACAGGCCACGGUCUUUAUUUCAAAACAGUACUAGUCGUGGUUUCUCUGUACCUGCAACUGAAGAAUUAGAGGAACAGGAGGACAGCAGUAAAUCUUCUAAUCCAAAACUCUUCAUGUCACAGAAAAUACCCUGAAGUCUAAGCAGGAUGAGACUCUUGAUUCAGAGGAGGAGAACUGCAUACGGCACAAUGAAGCUACAAGAGAAGCUCUGACUGUUUUGUUUUUUUCCCCCUUCAUCAAGCUACUGUACACAUGGCCUUUCAAGAUGAGCAACUCCCAUAGAACAGCACUUACUGCGGAAGUACAGGAUGUUUAUGCAGGUACAAUAAAGAAAUGAAUAUUGGACUACAUCACAUAGGUCUCGGAGAACAAAAGAGGCUGUGCAUUGAAAUACCUCCAAAGCUUUCUGAAAAUGCUAAUAGAGAGAAGUUUUCCUGGCAUUUAAGAGUAAAUCAUGCACAGUUAGUUGAAGAACAUUUUAUACAUCACUCAUCCUGUUAUAUCCAUGAAGCUGUGCAAUUUCCCUACAAGGUACCAGAUGGAUAGACUGGUAGAUAUUGAGAACCUCUGUCAGGUUUUAGCCUAUGAGCUAGUUAAUCACAUGUCUUUAGUUGCCAAAAAAGAGCAUUUAUCCUGCAGGAAGAAUGGUUGAAAGACUAUUGUUGCAUUAUUAAUAAAAACAGAGACAACACAGAAUCCCUGAUGCCUCAGGACGAUAAGGAAGAAUCUUUGGCUGACCUCGUUGAGGUGAAUGAAGAAUAUGGCAGAUGAAAUGAGAAUGAGGGGAUUAUGCAUCUGAAAACCAAGGACAUCCAGUUAAAGCUCAUCUUAUUUUAAUCUUCAUGUGGAUGAUUGAUCAUACCCGCCAGCUGGCUAAUAUCAUAAUUAACAAAGUUGCUACCACAUCUGAGAAGUAUAAUCGAAAAAUUUACCAGCAGUGUGAUGCCAUUGUCACAAAGAUCAUAAGCAUUACAGAGUCGACUUUUGCAAUCCUGGAGCUGCAGAACUAUGUAGAUGUGCUGAGAAGGGGUGCACUUGUACAGCUAAAGUGAGAUACGAUUGCAGAAAGAGGAAGAUUUAGUUCUGGCAAAACUAGUCCAGUGGCAAAGUGAAGAACUGAUGUGGCUGUCAUGGUAAAGGAAUUCCGGAAUAAAGAACCACUGUCCGAAGCUAAUCUUUACACGUGGGAGCUAGAUGGUAUCAAUGGAAAAAAAUGGGAACUCAUUAAAGAGAAAACAUUAAUCAGGCAGAAGGAAGUUCUUUCAGAGACAGGUCAAAUCAGCUGUUUUGAUGAAAUACAGUGUAUGUCAAUGUAAAGGAACUAUUUGAGAGACUAUGGACAACUGCUGUUCAGUUUAACAUUUAUAUGACAAGUGGGUGAAUGUCCCUCUCUUAUAAGUCAAUGCAGAGGAAGUGGAAAAGAGGUUCAGAAUUUAUGGAAGACUAGCUACAAACUGACAAAGGUAUUUUGUCAGCUAGACUUGCAUAGCCUUUUGAAAGUGCCCACAACUAUGAAAACAAAAGCUGAAGAAUUUAAAAUCAACAUGUCACUUAUAAAAGCUCUGUGUACACCUGGGAUUUAGCCAAGACCCUGGAAUAUGAUGAGUCAAAAGGUUCUGCUGGAGGAUCACAUUGUGAAAACUAUGGCCAUGAAAGGCCCUCCAUUUAUUGCACCCUUCAAACACGAAAUAUUAGCAUGGGAGGCUAAGCUGCGCGACUAAUGGAGGAGAUUAUGGAAACCUGGCUGCAAGUUCAAAAGGCCCUGGUGACCAUGUAUUGCUCACAAGAUACAUGUAACCAAAUAUCAGUAGAAGGAAAGCACUUUGAAGUUGUCAGUAGGAACUGGAGGCUAAUAAUGAAGGAGUCAGUGAAGGAGGCCAAUGGCAUGAGGGUUAUCUCACAGCCCCAGAUGCUGGAUAAGUUGAAGGAGGCAGAAUCGCUUUUGGAUGACAUUCAGAAAGGCCUGAAUGAUUAUUUGGAGAAGAAAAGACUAUUCUUUCUAAGGUUUUUUCUUUCUGUGCCACGAUGAGCUCUUAGAAAUCCUUUCUGAGACAAAGGAUCCACUCCAAGACCAACCACACCUAAAUAAAUGCUUUGAAGGAAUUGCCAAGCUCACUUUUAAUCAAGAGAAAGAAAUUACUCACAUGGAGUCAGCAGAAAAUGAAAAAGUAGAGCUCGUGCUGCGAAUAAUUCCAGCAAGUGCCAAGGGGCUAGUUGAGAAAUGGCUUCAUGAGGUGAAUAUCUUUAGCUCUUACUUAGGGUUUAGUUACUGUAUAAUCAUUUUCUCUUUUAGGAGCAAGGAAUAUCAUAAGCAUAUUUCCUAACUAAAUAGCUCUCUGAGAAUUUACCAGAUUAUUUAACAGAUUGAAUAUCAGCCUUAUUGUUGUUAUUUAUUACACCUAGUUGAUAUGUGCAAACAUGCAAAAUUAAUUUUAAUAAAGAGGUUAUCAGUAUGUGAGACAGUUAAUAAAAGUGUGUGUGUCUGAAAGCAUAUAUGUGACUAUAUGUUCAAGUCUAUGUAUAUGUAUUUUUGUUGUCUUCUCCCUGUAAUUUUUGUAGUUUGGAAAGAUAGAUUUUUUUUACAAAGCAGUUUAAAGGAACGUGAAGAGAUUUUUUGCACACCCCCCUCCCCCCAAAAAUCUUUAUUUUCAAUACAUAUUAAGUAAAGGGAAGAGAAAUAUUUAAUUAACAAUAUACUAACCUUUCCCCUUUGGGCCUAUGAUCCAAAUUAAUCCGUUUCAGUGUGAAAUUAGUUUGAUGACCUUUUUGUUGGCUUUAUUUUUACCUUCCUCUGUUACACAAUCAAAGUGGGUCCUUCCUCUGAUAUACAAUUCUAGGCCAAGUCCACUUCCAAUCUCUCCUUCUUUCUUUCAAGACAGAAUCAGCCCCAGGUACACAUCUUUCCUUUCUGUUGUUAUUGCAGGCACUGCUUUUACCCCAUUAAAUCUCUACCUUUACCUCUUGCCUCUCUCUUCACUUUAGGCUGUCAGCCAACCAGGGUAUACAACUGAGAAAAGCAAUACCGUAUACUAGAAAGGGAGAAAAGGAAAAACAAAACAAAACCAAAAAACACACACAGAAUUUUUUUCCAAGAUGGACUCUGCUGCGGGGGGGGGGGGGCGGGAAUUUGUCAAAGGAACUGAGAGUGAACUUUAGCUGAGAGUAUUACUUCUGUUAUGUGCCGAGUUUCUGCUGGCCGGGUGAGCAAAACAAAACAGCUCAAGUCCUCUCAUGAUUCCAUGUUUCCCACAUAACUGAGCCACAUAUCACCAUGCCAACUUAGAAUUAAUCUUUUUUAAAGUGACUGCACGCAAUUUAAAACAGUUCAUCACAGUUAGUCAGGGGAGGGUAAGGACAGAGCCUACUUAGGCACAAAUACUUCCUUCCCUACUCUCCAAAGAAAAUUGUAAAACUUUAUUUUUGUACUCAUUUUCAGCACAAUGUUAUGUUCUUCGGAAAAACAUUGGAGUUAGAGAGCUGUGGUAGGUAUGAGAUAUGCAGUUAUGAGGAGCCUAGGAAAGGCAGAUCUCACCAUACCGGAAAACCUGCUGGAUGUUGUUUAGUUCUCUCUCUCCAACAAAAGAGAGAGAGAGAGAUAGGGAGAUGAGCAGCUGUGUUUAUUUUAAUACAUCUCAUUUAACCCUCACCUAAAAACAAAUGGAAAGGUUUGGGAGUGCAUUAAUCUGGACCCAAUUAGCAUCUCUUUUUCCCUCAAAAGUGCAACCUGUGAUUAAUGAAUAUAAAGUAGAGUUUCAUAUGCAGUCUUUAAAUCAUUUGCAUGUUUUAUGCAUGAUAAUUGAAUUUAUUUAUGCACUUCCUUUCAUUUAAUGAUUUCCUGCGCUAUCCACAUUGUACUAUCCAAGAAACAGGAUUUGAUAGGCAAGCAAGGAUAGGAGUAGAUAAAUAAAACCAAGUAAAUUUGUAUGUCUAAUGUCAACUGCAAAUAAAAAUUAAUGGGUUAAUGUAAAAUGUUUUAGUUAAAGUAUAUGCUCUUAGCCUUUUCAGACACUUUGGAUAUUGCUUAGUAUGCUUGUAAAUGUACAAGCAAAAUUAUUUUCAAAAGGCCAUGAAAGGCAGUUAAAUUAUUGUAUUGACAUUUCUAUGACCCUGGAGACUUGUGUUUCAACUUGGCCAAUUAGUAGUAAUAAGAUAAUCAGAAGAUGAAUAGUAAUUACAUUAAUAACUAAUGGUAUUCAGCCCAGGACCUAGAGAAUCAGUCUGGUUUAGAAUAUAAUAGUACAUUAUAAUUUGUCUUAUUCAGUAUUUGAUCAGUAGAAAUAUGAGCAUUGGAUGCCUAGUAAAUUUAUCAUAGGCAGGAUGUAUAAGUUCUAGAGAUCAGUUUGCCACAUUACUGUCCCUGUGAUUGUUCCUGUAAAGUGACAUAAUGGGGAAAAUUGCAUUUUUUCCCCCAUUUAAGGUCAGAUGUCCUAGUGAUUCCAUGGUGCUGGUGUCUGAAUUCUUUACAAUGCAAAGUCCAUCCUUGCGAUGGUCAUGCCAGGAAGCUGCUUUGGGAAAGGUUUUUUUUUUUUUUAAAAAAAGGAUUCUGGUAGUGUUUCUCAUAGUUUUGAUUUGUGCCAGUGCUUCUCUUGUCUCUUGUCUUUCCUUCUGUGUUUAAAGAUGUAUGUGGAAGUGAUCUUUUUCUGUGGUGUCCUGUCUUUUUCAGUGACUUAAUUGGUUGUGUGUUGUGAUUGUUUCCUGAUCUUUGUAGGUAGGAAUGUCUUUAAAGGCUAAAGUUCUGUUAAUUUGUGAUGUAACAAUUUCAGUGUGUUUCUUGUCAUUGAAAUGUAGUUUAAAAUGUUCAGUAAUGUAGCAUGAAAUUAUUGGUUAGUUUUGAAAUGGUUGUGAAAUCAUGUGAAGAAAAUAAGUAUUGCAUCUGAUCAAGAUAAAUUCACUCUAGUGUUUUAUGGCUUUUUAUUCCUAUGUGAUAGUAAUAAAGUCUCAUGUAGGGAUGGAAGCCAUGAAAUACAUUGUGAAAAAUCAUCAACUAAGAUGGGGCCAUGAGUAUAGAAAAUGGUAUAGUUGUAGAGCUACUGAAAAUUGUUGGAAAAUGAUUUAGUAUGUCACCAUGUUGAUUACCAUGUUUGCAUUUUAUUUCUUCAUCCCUCACCCAUGUAGUUUGGCAAGUAAGGAAAUUAGUUUAUAACAGGUUGAUUCACCUUUACAUCAAUGUUAAAUGUUUAAAUUGUUUAUACAUUUUUUUGAUUUUCUACUCAAAAUAACACUGUACAUGAAACAUUAAACUAAUUAGUUAAUACUGUAAAAAAAAAACAACAAAACAAAACAAAAACCCAACUUGUGAAUUUCCAAAUUCACGUUAUUGCUACUUAGAUUAAGAAUGAAACAAACUAAGGUAUCCCAUUAGUCCAUGGUCCAGGUUUUUUUACUCCCACACUCAAUAAUAGACAUGAAUGAUGAGCUAGCAUGUAAAUAAUAAUUCUUUUUCUAUUGACAUGUUUUUCUCAAAGUAUACAUUCUCUUCUUUUCCUCUUCUGGAAAUAAGACAAGGGAUUAUAGCUCUGAGGGCAGAAAAAGCACCUGUGAGAAUGUUCAUAAUAGUGCCAACAUCCCAUAUAUUGCUUUACUAUCCAAGUUUUGUCAAUCUUUGUAUAUCUUUCUGUCUUGGGUGUCAUUUUGUUUGUGGGACACUUCUGUGAAUGUGCGUCAUUCUUAUAUAACUAAUUUAUUUUUACAGCCUUCUUUAUGUAUUCUUUCUCAAUGCACAUUAAUAAAAAUAUUUUUGUUA